UUGAACGCUGGCGGCAUGCCUUACACAUGCAAGUCGAGCGGCAGCGCGGGGGCAACCCUGGCGGCGAGCGGCGAACGGGUGAGUAAUACAUCGGAACGUGUCCAGUAGCGGGGGAUACCUGUCGAAAGAUAGGCUAAUACCGCAUACGACCUACGGGUGAAAGCGGGGGACCGCAAGGGCCUCGCACUAUUGGAGCGGCCGAUGUCGGAUAGCUAGUUGGCGGGGUAAAAGCCCACCAAGGCGACGAUCCGUAGCUGGUCUGAGAGGACGACCAGCCACACUGGAACUGAGACAACGGUCCAGACUCCUAGGGAGGCAGCAGUGGGAAUUUUGGACAAUGGGGGCAACCCUGAUCCAGCCAUGCCGCGUGAGUGAAGAAGGCCUUCGGGUUGUAAAGCUCUUUCGGCGGGGACGAAACGGUCCGUGACAACACCACGGACUAAUGACAGUACUCGCAGAAGAAGCACCGGCUAACUACGUGCCAGCAGCCGCGGUAAUACGUAGGGUGCAGGCGUUAAUCGGAAUUACUGGGCGUAAAGCGUGCGCAGGCGGCUCCUUAAGUCAGAUGUGAAAUCCCCGGGCUUAACCUGGGAACUCUGCGUUUGAAACUGGGGAGCUUGAGUGUGGAAAGGGGGGGGUGGAAUUCCAGGUGUAGCAGUGAAAUGCGUAGAGAUCUGGAGGAACACCGAUGGCGAAGGCAGCCCCCUGGGCUAACACUGACGCUCAUGCACGAAAGCGUGGGGAGCAAACAGGAUUAGAUACCCUGGUAGUCCACGCCCUAAACGAUGUCAACUGGUUGCCGGGGAAGUUAUUCCUUGGUAACGAAGCUAACGCGUGAAGUUGAACCGCCUGGGGAGUACGGCCGCAAGGUUAAAACUCAAAGGAAUUGACGGGGACCCCACACAAGCGGUGGAUUAUGUGGAUUAUUCUGAUGCAACGCGAAAAACCUUACCUACCCUUGACAUGUCAGGAAGCCUGCAGAGAUGCAGGGGUGCCCGAAAGGGACCUGAAACCAGGUGCUGCAUGGCUGUCGUCAGCUCGUGUCGUGAGAUGUUGGGUUAAGUCCCGCAACGAGCGCAACCCUUGUCAUUAGUUGCCACAUUCAGUUGGGCACUCUAAUGAGACUGCCGGUGACAAACGGAGGAAGGUGGGGAUGACGUCAAGUCCUCAUGGCCCUUAUGGGUAGGGCUUCACACGUAAUACAAUGGCCGGUACAGAGGGCUGCCAACCCGCGAGGGGGAGCUAAUCCCAGAAAGCCGGUCGUAGUCCGGAAUUGUUCUCUGCCAACUCGAGAGCAUGAAGUCGGAAUCGCUAGUAAUCGCGGAUCAGCAUGUCGCGGUGAAUACGUUCCCGGGUCUUGUACACACCGCCCGUCACACCAUGGGAGUGGGUUUCACCAGAAAGUAGUUAGCCUAACCGCAAGGAGGGCAAACUACCACGGUGAGAUUCAUGACUGGGGUG
rnacentral:rRNA from 1 species